UACGAGGGGGGGCAAGCGUUUGUUCGGAAUUAUUGGGCGUAAAGGGCGCGUAGGCGGCGCGGUAAGUCACUUGUGAAAUCUCUGAGCUUAACUCAGAACGGCCAAGUGAUACUGCAGUGCUAGAGUGUGGAAGGGGCAAUCGGAAUUCUUGGUGUAGCGGUGAAAUGCGUAGAUAUCAAGAGGAACACCAGCGGCGAAGGCGGCGCUCUGGGCCGGAACUGACGCUGAGGAGCGAAAGCGUGGGGAGCAAACAGG
rnacentral:rRNA from 1 species